AUAAUUUAAUCAUUUCCCUUGGAUAAUAAUUGUUGUAUGAUUUUUUUAUGUUCGCCCACUGGUUAAUUAGUAUACACGAAUAAACUGGAUUUGGUGAUUACUUACAAAGGUCCCAAGGGAAUACAUCCAACGCCUGUAGUACGACAUGGAGAAUUAUUGGGUUUUUGCUUUUUUCAACGACAGCAAAUAAAGGCUCUCCUUGUUCUAGAGCUUGGCGUACUUUUGUAACAUAACGACUCAUUUGGGAGUGCAAAUUAGUGACUUCUUCUGUUUUCUUAUUUUCUUCAUCCAAGGCAAAGCCAAUCGACCAUAAAACAAGAGCAGCAACAUAAUAACACCAAGAAUGAUAAAUUAGAGUAUCAUAACGAGGAGCUGACUCUAUUUUUUCUCUUAAAAGCAUAUCUAAUAUCUCAAGUGCAUUAGAAGUGGAAUAUCGCGCAUUCUCAGUAUUCGCCCAUAUUUUUACAUAUCGUAACGGUGCAACAGUUUUUGAGGUUACAGAACCAUCUACCGGAUCGGUGACAGCUUUGGCAAAAGCCUGUAAAUAGGUUAGACGGGUCUUUGAGUAGAUGCAUGCUAAAUUAUAAAGUGAUCUGCACUCCUUAACGAAAGGAUGACCAAAAGGUAAGAUAUUGUUAUUCAGAAAAAUGCUAUAAUAACAUCUGUUCCAUUUUUGAUAUGCUUCAAAAACAAGAGAGCACCAGCCAUCAAUUUCGCGUUUACUCAAUUUCAUUCCGGGUACUAUGUUUGGAAUGUUAGUUUUAAAAGUAGAGAAAAUGGUUUCUGCACUUACCAAAUUUUUUUUGUUUCAAAGAAAUGUCAACCGAUAGCAACCCAUGAAGAAGAAGCAACAUAUUCCAUGGUGAUAGUUUAGGUAAUGGUGAUUCACAUUGUUCACAUUGUACAAAUGCUUUCAGCAUAUGAAGAAUGGUUGGGGGCUCUAUCGUAGGUUUUUGGGCGGCCCAAACUUCAAAAUUUUCGGCUUCCCAGUGAUGCUCCUCAGCUAACAAUGGCAUGGAAACAUCAGUAACAUAAAGCAAAGGCUGAUUUCCGAAUACAAGAGUGCUCGUAGAAUCCAAUGCAAAUACAAAAAAAGCAAUCCUAACCGUUGUAAGUACAAAAAAAUACAAAAAUCUUACCUUUUCACAGACUCCCGAGUAAUCCAUUUGUGCCAUUGUUGCAAGGUUAAGGGAGUAUUCGAUUCUCCAAAUGUCUCUGACCGGACGGUGAGCGCAUCAGAUGGAAUCGCUUGACGCAUGGCCUUAAUAAGUUAGCCUCUAGCAUAUAUUAUUUAUAAUAUGAUUACCUCAAUUAAAACA